ACCAUUAACUUGUAAUGGUUAAUACUGAGUGUCAACUUGAUUGGAUUGAAGGAUACAAAGUAUGGUUCCUGGGUGUGUCUUUGAGGAUGUUGCCAAAGUAGAAUAACAUUUGAGUCAGUGGACCUGGAAAGGCAUACACACCCUGAAUCUGGGUGGGCAAAAUCUAAUCAGCUGCUAGCGCAGCUUGAAUAUAAAGCAGGCAGAAACAUUUGAAGAAGGAGUUUGGCCUAGCCUCCCAGCCUACAUGUUUCUCUCAUUCUGGAUGCUUCUUGACCUCAAAUUUCAGACUCCAAGUUAUUCAGUUUUGGAAGUCAGACUGGCUCUUCUUGCUCCUCAGUCUGCGGACAGCCUACUGUGGGACUUUGUGAUUGUAUGUUCUGGUUGGGUAGACUGGUCUAUGCUGGUUUUAGCCCCAUAUUUUAUGCUCGAAGUGAUCACAUAUACUUCUGCUUAAGACGAUUUACUAUGCUCUGUUCAAAUUAUUAAUAAUCACCAUCAAUGAGAGAAAACUGAUUUGCACAAGUAAGUUAUAUUUUUUAUUAAAUGCUUUCUUACUACUUGUCAAAUUUUUGAAAACAUUGAAAUUAUUAAUUUUACUCUAAUAGCUGUUUUUGUUCAUUCAGUGACAAAUUUAAUGUUGUAAAUUGCUGUGAUAAUAUCAAAAGGUUUUAAAUUCAGUCUUUUUAAUGUCAGAUAUUUUGAUAUGCAGUACUGAUGAAUGGCAAAUUUUGUAGACUGCACAUGCAUUAUUAGAGCUGUCACUUUAAGUUAACAUAUAUACUAGACAUGACUAAUCAUAUGUAUGAAGACAAAAGAAUAUUUAAGUGUUUACCUCAACAUUUAGUUAGACUGGUCAACUACUAAACUACUGAAAUCAGAUGAAUAGGGGACUAAUUGUAGUAAUCUAAUUAAUCUUACAGAAAUACAAAAAUAAAAAUAGAAUUUUUAGAAAUACUAUAUGCCAACAAAUUAAAUAAAUUGGAAGAAAUAGACCAAUUUUUAGAAAGACAUGAACUACUUAAAUUCACUCAAGAUGUAAGAUGUUUCCUCAACCUGCUCAUUCUGAAAUAAUCAGCAUGUUAUAAUAAGAGUUCAAGUAAAGUGUUAUAGUAUACUUAACACAAAAUUAAUUAAUUUCAACUGAGAGAAUCAGUGUAAGUUUAAUAAAGGCAGAGUUAAGGUAAGUGGCAUAAAUAAAAACAAAUUUUGUUAGAUAGCAAAUUUAUUUCAGAAGGUUCAAGGAGCCACAAAUGAAGGCAUGGUCAUCAGAGCAUAUGUUGCUUGGUUGGUAAACAUUGGGGGCAAUGUGUCUGGAGCCUUGAUGUAUGGAGGGCUCUAGUUAAAGAUUAGAUAUUUAAAAG
rnacentral:lncRNA from 1 species